rnacentral:rRNA from 1 species
UACGAAGGGGGCUAGCGUUGUUCGGAAUUACUGGGCGUAAAGCGCACGUAGGCGGGUUGUUAAGUCAGGGGUGAAAUCCCGGAGCUCAACUUCGGAACUGCCCUUGAUACAGCACGUCUCGAGUCCGAGAGAGGUGAGUGGAAUUCCUAGUGUAGAGGUGAAAUUCGUAGAUAUUAGGAAGAACACCAGUGGCGAAGGCGGCUCACUGGCUCGGUACUGACGCUGAGGUGCGAAAGCGUGGGGAGCAAACAGG